GGACGAACGCUGGCGGCGUGCUUAACACAUGCAAGUCGAACGGAAUCCAUGGUGUAGCAAUACACCGGAAGAUUUAGUGGCGAACGGGUGAGGAUCACGUGAGAAACGUGCCCCAGACUCUGGGAUAACAAUUGGAAACGAUUGCUAAUACCGGAUGACGUCGGAGAAUCGCAUGAUUCACUGACGAAAGAUAUUUCGGUUUGGGAGCGUCUCGCGGCCUAUCAGCUUGUUGGUGGGGUAAUGGCCUACCAAGGCAACGACGGGUAGCUGGUCUGAGAGGAUGAUCAGCCACACUGGGACUGAGACACGGCCCAGACUCCUACGGGAGGCAGCAGUGGGGAAUCUUGCGCAAUGGGCGAAAGCCUGACGCAGCAACGCCGCGUGCGGGAUGAAGGCCUUCGGGCUGUAAACCGCUUUCAGCAGGAACGAAAAUGACGGUACCUGCAGAAGAAGGAGCGGCCAACUACGUGCCAGCAGCCGCGGUGACACGUAGGCUCCAAGCGUUGUCCGGAUUUAUUGGGCGUAAAGAGCUCGUAGGCGGUUGAGUAAGUCGGGUGUGAAAACUCUGGGCUUAACCCGGAGACGCCAUCCGAUACUGCUCUGACUAGAGUUCAGGAGGGGAGUGGGGAAUUCCUAGUGUAGCGGUGAAAUGCGCAGAUAUUAGGAGGAACACCGGUGGCGAAGGCGCCACUCUGGACUGAAACUGACGCUGAGGAGCGAAAGCAUGGGUAGCAAACAGGAUUAGAUACCCUGGUAGUCCAUGCCGUAAACGGUGGGCACUAGGUGUGGGUUCCAACUAACGGGAUCCGCGCCGUCGCUAACGCAUUAAGUGCCCCGCCUGGGGAGUACGUACGCAAGACUAAGACUCAAAGGAAUUGACGG
rnacentral:rRNA from 1 species